rnacentral:pre_miRNA from 1 species
UAGGUACUCCCUCCGUUCGGAAUUACUUGUCUCGGAAAUGGAUGUAUCUAGAACUAAAAUACGUCUAGAUACAUCCAUUUUCGCGACAAGUAAUUCCGAACGGAGGGAGUAAUUG